UGUUCUAUGGCCGAACUGGUAAAGGCAUCGCCGAUCAUAAGCGAGGUUGCGGGUUCGAGUCCCGCUGGAACGG
rnacentral:tRNA from 1 species